rnacentral:rRNA from 1 species
UCGAGCGGGCGUMGCAAKACGUSAGCGGCAGACGGGUGAGUAACRCRUGGGAACGUACCYUUUGGUUCGGAACAACMCAGGGAAACUUGUGCUAAUACCGRAUAAGCCCUUACGGGGAAAGAUUUAUCGCCGAARGAUCGGCCCGCGUCUGAUUAGCUAGUUGGUGAGGUAACGGCUCACCAAGGCGACGAUCAGUAGCUGGUCUGAGAGGAUGAUCAGCCWCAYUGGGACUGAGACACGGCCCARACUCCUACGGGAGGCAGCAGUGGGGAAUAUUGGACAAUGGGCGCAAGCCUGAUCCAGCCAUGCCGCGUGRGUGAUGAAGRCCCUAGGGUUGUAAAGCYCUUUYGUGCGGGAAGAUAAUGACGGUACCGCAAGAAKAAGCCCCGGCUAACUUCGUGCCAGCAGCCGCGGUAAUACGAAGGGGGCUAGCGUUGCWCGGAAUCACUGGGCGUAAAGSGYRCGUAGGCGGRUYKYUAAGUCARGGGUGAAAUCCUGGAGCUCAACUCCAGAACUGCCUUUGAUACUGRMGAYCUUGAGUYCGGGAGAGGUGAGUGGAACUGCGAGUGUAGAGGUGAAAUUCGUAGAUAUUCGCAAGAACACCAGUGGCGAAGGCGGCUCACUGGCCCGRUACUGACGCUGAGGYRCGAAAGCGUGGGGAGCAAACAGGAUUAGAUACCCUGGUAGUCCACGCCGUAAAACGAUGRAUGCUAGCCGUURGUGGGUUUACC